rnacentral:misc_RNA from 1 species
GAAAUGCGAUAAGUAGUGUGAAUUGCAGAAUUCAGUGAAUCAUCGAAUCUUUGAACGCACAUUGCGCCCCUCGGUAUUCCGUGGGGCAUGCCUGUUCGAGCGUCAUCUACACCCUCAAGCUCUGCUUGGUGUUGGGCGUCUGUCCCGCCUCCUUCGCGCGCGGACUCGCCCCAAAUCCAUUGGCGGCGGCCCUUGCCUCCCUCUCGCGCAGCACAUUGCGCUUCUCGAGGCGCGGCGGACCGCGUCUAGCAAGCAACCGUCACACCGUCUUUGACCUCGGAUCAGGUAGGGAUACCCGCUGAACUUAAGC